AUUGAACGCUGGCGGCAGGCCUAACACAGGCAAGUCGAGCGGAUGAAGGGAGCUGGCUCCUGGAUUCAGCGGCGGACGGGUGAGUAAUGCCUAGGAAUCUGCCUGGUAGUGGGGGAUAACGUCCGGAAACGGGCGCUAAUACCGCAUACGGCCUGAGGGAGAAAGUGGGGGACACUCGGACCUCACGCCUUCAGAUUUGCAUUGGUCGGAUUAGCGAGUUGGUGGGGUAAAGGCCUACCAAGGCGACGUCACGCAACUGGUCUGAGAGGAUGAUCAGUCACACUGGAACUGAGACACGGUCCCAACUCCUCCGGGCGGCAGCAGUGGGGAAUAUUGGACAAUGCGCGAACGCCUGAUCCAGACAUGCCGCGUGUGUGAAGAAGGUCUUCGGAUUGUAAAGCACUUUAAGUUGCGAGGAAGGGCAGUAAGUUAAUACCUUGCUGUUUUGACGUUCCCAACAGAAUAAGCACCGGCUAACUUCGUG
rnacentral:rRNA from 1 species